AGCGAAUAAUGCGAUCGGUAUGGAGCUUCCCAGAUGUCUGCAGAAUUUGUCAUAAACAGGGCACCCCUUCACCCAGCCUGUAUGUUUGUUCCCCCUCAAACCAAUAUACGCUACUCCUCCAGCCGCCCCCGUAGCCGCCGCUACUAUUCCCAGCAUCAACACGUCCCAAAAUACAUAAUAAAGCAAGAAUGUUGUUGCAUAAGUUGGCUUAGCAAUGACUCCGAGGGAUGCAAGCGUUGUGAUGAUACUGUACAGGCAGGCAACAGAUAAUGC
rnacentral:misc_RNA from 1 species